CUACGGGCCGCACCAGUGAGGAAUAUUGGACAAUGGAUGGCAAUCUGAUCCAGCCAUGCCGCGUGAAGGAAGAAUGUCCUAUGGAUUGUAAACUUCUUUUGUAUGGGAGCAAUAAGUUGUACGCGUACAAUGAUGAGAGUACCAUACGAAUAAGCAUCGGCUAACUCCGUGCCAGCAGCCGCGGUAAUACGGAGGAUGCGAGCGUUAUCCGGAUUUAUUGGGUUUAAAGGGUGCGUAGGCGGUUACUGUAAGUCAGCGGUGAAAUUUAGGGGCUUAACCCCUACCGUGCCGUUGAUACUGCAGAGCUGGAAUAGGGAUGCUGUUGGCGGAAUGUGUAGUGUAGCGGUGAAAUGCAUAGAUAUUACACAGAACACCGAUUGCGAGGGCAGCUGACAAAUCCCUUAUUGACGCUGAUGCACGAAAGUGUGGGGAUCGAACAGGAUUAGAUACCCGGGUAGUC
rnacentral:rRNA from 1 species